GGAGCACGGUGAAGAGCCCGCGAAAUAGCUUUGUCAGCUGCCUCCCACUCGCCACUUUCCAAUUUUAGCUCCCCAUGGCCGGUGCGGGGUGUCCCCAGAGAGGCCUCUGCAAGGAGCUGGCCCCCAGCCUGGGGCCUCUCCUGAUAGACCCCCGGACCAGGGCUGGCCUGUGGACAUAGGGGCAUCCCUUUUCCCCUGGUCCUGCCUGCCCCAGAUGCCCCUGGGGUAAAGCCCCUUUUGCGGCCCAUGAUUUGGGAUGAGGGCCUGGGGUGUGCCCCACAAGUCUCAAGAGCCCCAGAGUAGCUGCCUCCCCAGCUGGCACUGACCUUGAGGAGGCCGCAAGGGACCCUGACACACUGCCCACCUCAGGCUCUGGGGUCCUGCGUCCAACUGUCCGUCCGUCCGACCGGCUGAGCUCUGGGGCUAUGGUGGGGUGUGUCCAGCCCUGGGGUCCCCACCCCCUCGAGGUUAUGAGAGCCCAUAGGGAAGAUGUUGCCAUUGUCCGCAGUUGGGAGAAGAAGAACCUGGCACAUGAGAAAGCCAAGUAAUUGGACCAGCCCUCUCCAUCAUGGCUUUUCCCACGCCUCUGAUUGGACUGGAAACUCCCUGAAAGGAGGAAGAAAGUCAGAUUCACCUCCAGGUCCCUCCCGGGCCUGGAGAAGCUGGCAUGCUGUUGGCACUCACUGACUGCCUGGUGGCAGACUGGCUGGAUGGAAUGGUGACCUGUGACCAGUCUGUCUCUCUCCUCAGCUGACCUGAGAGUUCCUGGAGGCCAGAGACUGUUUGCCUCACCUCGGCACCUCUGUGCCUGGGGUAGAGGAACUGCUCAACAAGUUCUGGUUGAAUGAAUAGAGGGAACACUAAGAGUGAAUAAUUAUUGAGCACUUACUGUGUGCAAGCAGCUGCUGUAACCAUUGGACACUUUUUAUCUCAAUGAACCCUGCAGAGGGUUCCAAUGAGGGAAUGGAGCAGACCUGAUCUAAUCAAGCUGGGGGUGGGGAGGUGCCUGGUGGCAGGUGCCAGAGACAUGACAGGGACUUCCGCACAUGGCACCACAGCAAUGCUGUCAAGGUUGCCCGUGGAAUCUGAAAACUGAAACACUUGUCUUUAUACCCAGAGUUGGCCAAAGCAAGACACCAGCAAAUCAGUUCACCCAAAAAUGUGCAAACAAGAUUUCCCGUGCCUACCUGUCUGCAGUUUUUCUCUCCCCUCUCAUAUAACUCUUGUUGAAAUCAAUCUGUAGAUACAGGUUCCUCAUACAAAAAUAAACAGAGAGCUA